rnacentral:rRNA from 1 species
AUUGAACGCUGGCGGCAUGCCUUACGCAUGCAAGUCGAACGGUAACGGGCCUUCGGGUGCCGACGAGUGGCGCACGGGUGAGUAAUACAUCGGAACGUGCCCGAUCGUGGGGGAUAACGAGGCGAAAGCUUUGCUAAUACCGCAUACGAUCUACGGAUGAAAGCAGGGGACCGCAAGGCCUUGCGCGGACGGAGCGGCCGAUGGCAGAUUAGGUAGUUGGUGGGAUAAAAGCUUACCAAGCCGACGAUCUGUAGCUGGUCUGAGAGGAUGAUCAGCCACACUGGGACUGAGACACGGCCCAGACUCCUACGGGAGGCAGCAGUGGGGAAUUUUGGACAAUGGGCGCAAGCCUGAUCCAGCCAUGCCGCGUGCAGGAUGAAGGCCUUCGGGUUGUAAACUGCUUUUGUACGGAACGAAAAGCCUUCUUUUAAUACAGGAGGGUCAUGACGGUACCGGAAGAAUAAGCACCGGCUAACUACGUG